AUUGAACGCUGGCGGCACGCCUAACACAUGCAAGUCGAGCGGCAGCGAGACUAGUAGCAAUACUAGUUGUCGGCGAGCGGCGGACGGGUGAGUAACACGUAGGAAUCUGCCCUUAAGCGGGGGAUAACCAAGGGAAACUUUGGCUAAUACCGCAUAAUCUCGAGAGAGCAAAGCUGCCCGCAAGGGUGGCACUUGAGGAGGAGCCUGCGUCCGAUUAGCUAGUUGGUGGGGUAAUGGCCUACCAAGGCGAUGAUCGGUAACUGGUCUGAGAGGACGACCAGUAACACUGGGACUGAGACACGGCCCAGACUCCUACGGGAGGCAGCAGUGGGGAAUAUUGGACAAUGGGGGCAACCCUGAUCCAGCGAUGCCGCGUGAGUGAAGAAGGCCUUCGGGUCGUAAAGCUCUUUAGGUUGGGAAGAAGGGUAUUGGCUGAAUAAUCCAGUACUUUGACGGUACCGACAGAAUAAGCACCGGCAAACUCUGUGCCAGCCGCCGCGGUAAAAC
rnacentral:rRNA from 1 species